AGAACGAACGCUGGCGGCAGGCUUAACACAUGCAAGUCGAACGGUUGUAGCAAUACAGCAGUGGCAGCGGGUGAGUAACACGUGGGAACCUUCCUAGGGGUACGGAACAACUCAGGGAAACUUGAGCUAAUACCGUAUACGUCCGUAAGGAGAAAGAUUCAUCGCCCCUAGACGGGCCCGCGUAGGAUUAGGUAGUUGGUGAGGUAACGGCUCACCAAGCCUACGAUCCUUAGCUGAUCUGAGAGGAUGAUCAGCCACACUGGGACUGAGACACGGCCCAGACUCCUACGGGAGGCAGCAGUGGGGAAUCUUGGACAAUGGGCGCAAGCCUGAUCCAGCCAUGCCGCGUGAGUGAAGAAGGCCUUCGGGUUGUAAAGCUCUUUUACCAGGGACGAUAAUGACGGUACCUGGAGAAUAAGCCCGGCAAACUUCGUAGCCAGCAGCCGC
rnacentral:rRNA from 1 species